UACCCUCACAUUUUCGUCGCAUUUCCCACGGAAAUAGAAACUAAUAUUGUAUCGUAGUCUAUUCCGCCCGUUAUAUAAGAUAUUAUCAUAUUACGUAUCUAUUUCCCGCAAGUUUUUGAUAUUUUAAUGACUCCCUCUGAAACACAGGUGAACAUUUAAACUUGGGUGUUAACUGCUGGGCCCGAUUCGCUACGUGUAGGCCGGGCUUAAUUUGGCGCCCUGGCGGAAGGUUUAGGAGUCUGCACGAGAGGGAGCAUUCAUAAAUAACGUGCAAACAUUAAACUUAUAUUAUGUUUAUGUAUAUGUUGUAUACCUAUAAGUAAACUACGAAUAUUAUGAAACCCACUUUACUCGACAUUCAUGUGCCAACGUGCAUGUUCCUACGUACGUAAUAAACACGAAAGCUGUAGUCA